GCAUAUCAAUAAGCGGAGGAAAAGAAACCAACAGGGAUUGCCUCAGUAACGGCGAGUGAAGCGGCAAAAGCUCAAAUUUGAAAUCUGGCUCCCCUUGGGGGUCCGAGUUGUAAUUUGAAGAGGAUGCUUCGGGUGCGGCCACGGCGCAAGUCCCUUGGAACAGGGCGUCGCAGAGGGUGAGAAUCCCGUCUCGAGCCGUCGGACCCGCGCCCAUGUGAAGCUCCUUCGACGAGUCGAGUUGUUUGGGAAUGCAGCUCUAAGCGGGUGGUAAAUUUCAUCUAAAGCUAAAUAUUGGCCGGAGACCGAUAGCGAACAAGUAGAGUGAUCGAAAGGUUAAAAGCACCUUGAAAAGGGAGUUAAAUAGCACGUGAAAUUGUUGAAAGGGAAGCGCUUGCGACCAGACUCGGGGGCGGGGUUCAGCGGCCAUCCGUGGCCGUGUACUCCCCGUUCCCCGGGCCAGCAUCGGUUCUCGCGGUCGGUCAAAGGCCCCCGGAAUGUGUCGUCCCUCGGGACGUCUUAUAGCCGGGGGUGCAAUGCGGCCAGCGGGGACCGAGGAACGCGCUUCGGCUCGGAUGCUGGCAUAAUGGUCGUAAGCGGCCCCGUCUUGAAACACGGACC
rnacentral:rRNA from 1 species